rnacentral:rRNA from 1 species
AUGUUAGGAAUAAGGAAGAUACAUAAUCAGCUAGCAUAUAAUAUUGAAGCUUGCAUAAAUGGCACAAAAUAUAUAAUAGAUGAAAUUACGAUAAGAGAUUUGUCAGUAAUAAAUGAUGACAUGAUAAUAGGGUUAAGAUUUUUACAACAAUAUUUACGAACCACAAUCAUACAUGAAGAAGGGGUAACAUUUAUCCCUUAUCAAGAUAAUGUUCCAUACAUAUUUGAAGUGAGAAAACAAAGAAAGUCCUUACAAAAUGUAGAUAUAUCUAAUUUAGAUGAUGAAUAUGGCACAAGUCCACAUCCCCUUGAAUUCUGUAAAGACGAAGAACUUAGUGAGACCAUAGAAGAAUAUCAUAUAGAAAAUACAUGUACAGAAUGCAUUGGGUUACAAUCAUUUUCGCCAAAUUGGUAUAGAAAUAUAAAAUCUAAAAAAGAUAUAGAUAAGAUUGUGCAAAGACUAGAAAGCAUACAAAUUAUUGGAGAAAUACCAAUCAAACAUUGGGAUAAGAACUCUAUAGUUUGCAAAAUAAAUAUCAUAAAUCCAGAUAAUAUAAUUAAGUCAGGACCAAUAGAAGCUACUCCUAAAGAUAUAUAA